CACAGACCUGUAUGCACCAGGUAUUGAGGAUGAGGAGCUGGUUGCAGUCCAUGUGGAGAAUUUCCAACACACAGCAGUGGAGGAGAACAUUACACUAGCUGACAUUGUGGCAAACCUGUCACUUCCUAUUGAUCACAAAACAGUCAGCAGGUUCAACAUCUCAAAGACUAAUGUUUGGGAUGGAGCAGUCAGAGGUUUUAAGCGUACAACAUAUUCUGAAACCUGUGACAUGCUGGUCAAAUUUACUGAUGAUGCUGGAGUUUAUGAGGAGGGAAUUGACACAGGUGGUCCCAGAUGAGAAUUUUUAACUCUGCUAAUGAAACACCUGAAAGACCGGCCCAUUUUUGAUGGACCAGAAGGACAUCGGUUCUUGGUCUACAAUGCAAAUGCUGUUAGGGAGGAUGAAUACUACCUGGCAGGAAAAAUGAUCACAGUGUCAGUUGUACAUGGGGGUCCAGGACCCCAUUUCCUGUCAGAAGAUCUUGUACAUUAUCUUGCAGGCCAGCCUUCAUUCAAAUCAGCAGUUAAUUCAAUAACUGAUGAAGAAACAGGGAAAGCUUUU